rnacentral:rRNA from 1 species
UACGUAGGCGGAAAAUUAAGUCAGUAGUGAAAUCCUGCAGCUUAACUGUAGAACUGUUAUUGAUACUGGUUUUCUUGAAUAUAGUUGAAGUAGGCGGAAUGUGUAAUGUAGCGGUGAAAUGCUUAGAUAUUACACAGAACACCGAUUGCGAAGGCAGCUUACUAAGCUAUGAUUGACGCUGAGGUACGAAAGCGUGGGGAGCGAACAGGAUUAGAUCCCUGGUAGUCC